rnacentral:rRNA from 1 species
GGGUUGUGAGGUUAAGCGACUAAGCGUACACGGUGGAUGCCCUGGCAGUCAGAGGCGAUGAAGGACGUGCUAAUCUGCGAUAAGCGUCGGUAAGGUGAUAUGAACCGUUAUAACCGGCGAUUUCCGAAUGGGGAAACCCAGUGUGAUUCGUCACACUAUCAUUAACUGAAUCCAUAGGUUAAUGAGGCGAACCGGGGGAACUGAAACAUCUAAGUACCCCGAGGAAAAGAAAUCAACCGAGAUUCCCCCAGUAGCGGCGAGCGAACGGGGAGGAGCCCAGAGCCUGAAUCAGUGUGUGUGUUAGUGGAAGCGUCUGGAAAGGCGCGCGAUACAGGGUGACAGCCCCGUACACAAAAAUGCACAUACUGUGAGCUCGAUGAGUAGGGCGGGACACGUGGUAUCCUGUCUGAAUAUGGGGGGACCAUCCUCCAAGGCUAAAUACUCCUGACUGACCGAUAGUGAACCAGUACCGUGAGGGAAAGGCGAAAAGAACCCCGGCGAGGGGAGUGAAAAAGAACCUGAAACCGUGUACGUACAAGCAGUGGGAGCACGCUUCGGCGUGUGACUGCGUACCUUUUGUAUAAUGGGUCAGCGACUUAUAUUCUGUAGCAAGGUUAACCGAAUAGGGGAGCCGAAGGGAAACCGAGUCUUAACUGGGCGUUAAGUUGCAGGGUAUAGACCCGAAACCCGGUGAUCUAGCCAUGGGCAGGUUGAAGGUUGGGUAACACUAACUGGAGGACCGAACCGACUAAUGUUGAAAAAUUAGCGGAUGACUUGUGGCUGGGGGUGAAAGGCCAAUCAAACCGGGAGAUAGCUGGUUCUCCCCGAAAGCUAUUUAGGUAGCGCCUCGUGAAUUCAUCUCCGGGGGUAGAGCACUGUUUCGGCAAGGGGGUCAUCCCGACUUACCAACCCGAUGCAAACUGCGAAUACCGGAGAAUGUUAUCACGGGAGACACACGGCGGGUGCUAACGUCCGUCGUGAAGAGGGAAACAACCCAGACCGCCAGCUAAGGUCCCAAAGUCAUGGUUAAGUGGGAAACGAUGUGGGAAGGCCCAGACAGCCAGGAUGUUGGCUUAGAAGCAGCCAUCAUUUAAAGAAAGCGUAAUAGCUCACUGGUCGAGUCGGCCUGCGCGGAAGAUGUAACGGGGCUAAACCAUGCACCGAAGCUGCGGCAGCGACACUAUGUGUUGUUGGGUAGGGGAGCGUUCUGUAAGCCUGUGAAGGUGUACUGUGAGGUAUGCUGGAGGUAUCAGAAGUGCGAAUGCUGACAUAAGUAACGAUAAAGCGGGUGAAAAGCCCGCUCGCCGGAAGACCAAGGGUUCCUGUCCAACGUUAAUCGGGGCAGGGUGAGUCGACCCCUAAGGCGAGGCCGAAAGGCGUAGUCGAUGGGAAACAGGUUAAUAUUCCUGUACUUGGUGUUACUGCGAAGGGGGGACGGAGAAGGCUAUGUUGGCCGGGCGACGGUUGUCCCGGUUUAAGCGUGUAGGCUGAUUUUCCAGGCAAAUCCGGAAAAUCAAGGCUGAGGCGUGAUGACGAGGCACUACGGUGCUGAAGCAACAAAUGCCCUGCUUCCAGGAAAAGCCUCUAAGCAUCAGGUAACAUCAAAUCGUACCCCAAACCGACACAGGUGGUCAGGUAGAGAAUACCAAGGCGCUUGAGAGAACUCGGGUGAAGGAACUAGGCAAAAUGGUGCCGUAACUUCGGGAGAAGGCACGCUGAUAUGUAGGUGAAGCGACUUGCUCGUGGAGCUGAAAUCAGUCGAAGAUACCAGCUGGCUGCAACUGUUUAUUAAAAACACAGCACUGUGCAAACACGAAAGUGGACGUAUACGGUGUGACGCCUGCCCGGUGCCGGAAGGUUAAUUGAUGGGGUUAGCGGUAACGCGAAGCUCUUGAUCGAAGCCCCGGUAAACGGCGGCCGUAACUAUAACGGUCCUAAGGUAGCGAAAUUCCUUGUCGGGUAAGUUCCGACCUGCACGAAUGGCGUAAUGAUGGCCAGGCUGUCUCCACCCGAGACUCAGUGAAAUUGAACUCGCUGUGAAGAUGCAGUGUACCCGCGGCAAGACGGAAAGACCCCGUGAACCUUUACUAUAGCUUGACACUGAACAUUGAGCCUUGAUGUGUAGGAUAGGUGGGAGGCUUUGAAGUGUGGACGCCAGUCUGCAUGGAGCCGAC